rnacentral:rRNA from 1 species
UACAGAGGUCCCAAGCGUUGUUCGGAUUUAUUGGGCGUAAAGGGUGCGUAGGUGGCAAAGUAAGUUGGAUGUGAAAUCCUGGGGCUCAACCUCAGAAUUGCAUUCAAUACUGCUUAGCUAGAGAGCUGUGGAGGAGACUGGAAUUUACGGUGUAGCAGUGAAAUGCGUAGAUAUCGUAAGGAACGCCAGUGGCGAAAGCGAGUCUCUGGGCAGCAUCUGACACUGAGGCACGAAGGCCAGGGGAGCAAACGGG